UACGAAGGGAACUAGCGUUGUUCGGAAUUACUGGGCGUAAAGCGCACGUAGGCGGACUAAUCAGUCAGAGGUGAAAUCCCAGGGCUCAACCCUGGAACUGCCUUUGAUACUGUUAGUCUAGAGUUCGAGAGAGGUGAGUGGAAUUCCGAGUGUAGAGGUGAAAUUCGUAGAUAUUUGGAGGAACACCAGUGGCGAAGGCGGCUCACUGGCUCGAUACUGACGCUGAGGUACGAAAGUGUGGGGAGCAAAC
rnacentral:rRNA from 1 species